rnacentral:miRNA from 1 species
UUAUUGUAACUAAUUUGUCGGU